rnacentral:misc_RNA from 1 species
ACGGUGGAAGGAGAAGCCUGACGGAAAAUGGGUAUUGUAAACGGGGCCUUUUUGCACUUACGAUAGGGUAAUAAUUUUUAAAGACGGACUGCAAUUGUUCAUAAGAUAUUUAAAAAGAAAAUAUACUCUCAGACUUUAAAUGACGCUUUUCUACUCUUGAAGGAUCUAUAUGUAGAUCUCUAAAUCACUGCAAUUUUUCAAAUGUGAAUUCUACAUUUUUAUUUGCAGUGACAGAAUACUUUUUGCAAGGACAUAUUUUUCUACUCUUUAGACACUGAUUUCAGGAUAAAUGUGCUAAAAUUAUAAUUGGUUUUGAGUGUCUAAGAAUAACUUGACUUCCGUUUUUUCAAGCAUUAUGAAAGAUUGAUGUUUCCUUUAGAUUCCAGAGUGUAAUUGAAACUGAUUUUCAGCCAGAAGAAUCUUCACGAACAUCGUCAUUUGAUGGGGGAUACUGUUCAUCUUAUCCAUCAUCAUCAGCAGCCACCCAUCCAUCUCCACCUGGAAUGUUAUAUUCAAUUGAAAACAAUUCAAUUUUACAAUACUAUCAUUCAAUGGAAACUGGAUUAUGCUCGAAAAGAAGAAUAAUGUACACAAAUACUGGUAUGGACUUCAUUCUGGAUACUCAUGCAAAUUUGCAAUGUCCGUUCACAGUCAAUGAUCUACGCCCACACGAUUACCGAAAUUUUCGUGGAAUGCUCAGACAUGAUUUUGUAAUGCUUUUUGACUACGCAACACGAUUUCCAGAGUUUAAUAGUUUUACGAGUCAUGAGAAAAAUAUGUUCUAUCGGCAAAUUGUUGCUGUUGAUUUUAUAUUGUCUUCCGCAUAUUACACGGCAAAACUCGGUCAAGCACAUCGUCAAAUGGUAUUGACAAAUGGUGAAUAUCUGAAUAUGGAUCCUUUACCAAUGUCCGGAAAUGAAAUUGAUGCCAGACGAUAUUUUGAUUGCGAUGAGGACUUUUCAAAGUAUAGAGCUCUAAUGCCAAUGCACAUCGCCAUUUGGGAAGAAAGCAUCGUCCCAUUUUCCAAACUGAAUGUCACUUUUGAAGAAUUUUGUUUGUUGAAGGCACUUACAGUAUGGCAAGCUACAUACUUCAAGCUAACUGAAAAUGGCCGUGAAAAAUGUCGUAGACAAAGGAAUAUCAUAAUUGGCUUUCUAUCAAAAAUGUGUCAUUCACCAGGUGGAGGCGGAGAGCAUCGUGUUGGAGAACUUCUGAUGAGUAUGAAUUAUCUCAGGGAAUCUGCUCAAAAACUCACAACUUCUUACGUGAUGCUCACAGUUUUCAAUGUUCUCAACUGUGAUUCAAUGCUUCAUGAAAUGCUUAAUUUUCAAUACUAG